UGUGCUCAAGAGGUACCUGCAGCUUCUGGCAUCUAGUCAGGGUGGCUGGGGACAGCACUGAAAAGGGGGCUGUGGGAACAGCCUGAAAAGGAGGCUGGGGGAACAUCCUG